CAUUAAUUUCAUGUUCUCUGCCCCCUUCUUUCUAUCAUGGAGCUGAAGCUGAGUGCGGCAGGCUAAUGAGCCAGGCGGCGGAGGCGGCGGCGGCGUGCGAUGGUUCCAGUCACCGGCGGCACAGCCUUGCGGCGGGAUGCAAUACAAGCACCCAAGCCGCCGGCACCUGCAUAGGCCUACAGCAGCAAGCCCUAAUCGAAUGGAUCUUGCAAGCGGCAUGAACCAGCGGCGGCGGUGCGGCAGCCCGUCCAGCGACCGCUGCUCUUCUUCCUCCACGAUGGGCCGGCAUCACACGGGCAGUUCUCCUUUCUGCUGGAGCCACGCAUCAUAAUCUGCGGAGGCAUCAUAGCUGUGAUCUGCUUUGGAGUUCCGAUCUAGAACGGUCCCGUUCUUCUCACACAUGAAGGAUCACCAGAAAUAGCAUUACGGAGCCAGCGAGGAAAUUGGAUGCUACACCGUCCAAUGGAAAGCAAGUGACAUACUUUUUUUCUAGAUCUGAAAGCAAAUCCAUCGAUCUUGAGACCAUGGUAUUUUUUUUUCUCUCAUUUAGCAGCCUCAUGAAUCACUGGAACCAAGCUUUCACUGUCGCUCUCCUCAACGAGCAAAUCUGCACACGAGCAGGAGCUGUAUCUCCCUCUCCCUCCAUGCAUUGGGGUCAGUUGGAUCCAUGCCACUCCAAUUUCUUGAAAUUGGAUCUCAUGCCAUUGAAAAUCAUGCCAUUGAAUGGCAUGAUUUUCAACAUGACACCCAAUUUCACGGAGUUGUGGUGGCAUGAAUCGAAUUUUCCCUUCUUAUUUAUAUGCUUCUCUGUACCCCUUGUUCUUCUAAUUGGUUGGGGUCAAAGAUCUGUUGCACUAAAAUAAAAAGUGUCCACAUUUUUCCUUACAGCAUGCAGAUCGAGGGGAAUGCCGGAACAAUAUUAUGCAGCUCAUGCUAAUCUCCCAGGUGGUUUUGUACGGGUCUGGCUAGUGACGCCUUUAAUGGAUGCCAGUCUAUCGGAGAGAUCGCUGUGGCGGUUCUCGACGGAUCUGCUUCGAUGAGCUGACAACAUGACUAACUGCAAGUAAUUGAUGAGGAAGAAAAGGUGCGUGGGUGCUGUGGCUUCGUCUCGAGGCAGUCUGCACCCUCGUGCCCUCAAUUUCAAUCUCACACUAACUAUGUCAUGUUUUCCACUAAUAGUAUUGUUUCAUAAAUUAGAGUAGUAAUUUUUUUCUUACUCAAGUAGUAUUUUCCAUAAUUUAGAGAAGUAUUUCAACAAUUUUGAGUAAUAUUUUUCAUAAUAUAGAGUAGUAUUUUUUUCUUACUCUAGUAGUAUUUUCCACUAGAGAAGUAUUUCUGGAGUUGUUGAGUAGUAUUUUUCAUAAUAUAGAGUAGUAUUUUUUAUGCUUUAUAGUACGUAGUUCACAACUUGUGAAUCAUGAGACCAUGUAGUUUGCAGUUUUUGAAAUCCGUCUUCUAUUGUAAAUGUGGCAUAGAAGUACAUCCGCAGUUGAUGAUUCAAAGACUCUAGAUGUAAAGUUUGACGGAGCUAGCAAUCUUGUUUUUUC